rnacentral:rRNA from 1 species
UUAAAUUGAAGAGUUUGAUCAUGGCUCAGAUUGAACGCUGGCGGCAGGCCUAACACAUGCAAGUCGAACGGUAACAGGAAGCAGCUUGCUGCUUCGCUGACGAGUGGCGGACGGGUGAGUAAUGUCUGGGAAGCUGCCUGAUGGAGGG